rnacentral:rRNA from 1 species
UACAGAGGGUGCGAGCGUUAAUCGGAAUUACUGGGCGUAAAGCGCGCGUAGGCGGCUUGUUAAGUCAAAUGUGAAAUCCCCGAGCUUAACUUGGGCAUUGCAUUCGAUACUGGCAAGCUAGAGUAUGGGAGAGGAAGGUAGAAUUCCAGGUGUAGCGGUGAAAUGCGUAGAGAUCUGGAGGAAUACCGAUGGCGAAGGCAGCCUUCUGGCCUAAUACUGACGCUGAGGCGCGAAAGCUAGGGGAGCGAACGGG